UUGCACAGUGAACAUCCAAGUGUGCUUUAUAGUUUCCUUGGCUUUGACUCUGCGCUAGAGCAAUAUCUGUUCUUUUCCUCUGCAUUGAAAGGAUUAGUUAUCCUCUAAAAAUUUUUUUUCCUUACUGAUUUUAGAGAGAGAGGAAGAAA